GACGAACGCUGGCGGCGUGCUUAACACAUGCAAGUCGGACGAGUGACGAACGGGUGAGUAAUAUAUCGGAACGUACCGAGUAAUGGGGGAUAACUAAUCGAAAGAUUAGCUAAUACCGCAUAUUAUUCGAGCGGCCGAUAUCUGAUUAGCUAGUUGGUGGGGUAAAGGCCUACCAAGGCGACGAUCAGUAGCGGGUCUGAGAGGAUGAGCCGCCACACUGGUACUGAGACACGGCCCAGACUCCUACGGGAGGCAGCAGUGGGGAAUUGUGGACAAUGGGCGCAAGCCCGAUCCAGCCAUGCCGCUUGUCUGAAGAAGGCCUUCGGGUUGUAAAGGACUUUUGUCAGGGAAGCGGUACCUGACGAAUAAGCACCGGCUAACUACGUGCCAGCAGCCGCGGUAAUUC
rnacentral:rRNA from 1 species